GCCAGGUGUGGUGGUGUAUGCCUGUAGUCCCAGUUACUCUGGAGGCUGAGGUGGGAGGAUCACUUGAGCCCAGGAGGCUAAGGCUGCAGUGAGCUGUGAUAGCACCACUGCACUCCAGCCUGAGCAACACAGUGAGACCUUGUCUCUA
ensembl:misc_RNA Metazoa_SRP Metazoan signal recognition particle RNA